rnacentral:rRNA from 1 species
CGGGUGAGUAACACGUAUCCAACCUGCCGUCUACUCUUGGCCAGCCUUCUGAAAGGAAGAUUAAUCCAGGAUGGCAUCAUGAGUUCACAUGUCCGCAUGAUUAAAGGUAUUUUCCGGUAGACGAUGGGGAUGCGUUCCAUUAGAUAGUAGGCGGGGUAACGGCCCACCUAGUCUUCGAUGGAUAGGGGUUCUGAGAGGAAGGUCCCCCACAUUGGAACUGAGACACGGUCCAG